AGCGAACGCUGGCGGCAGGCUUAACACAUGCAAGUCGAGCGGGCCUUUCGGGGUCAGCGGCGGACGGGUGAGUAACGCGUGGGAACGUGCCUUCUGGUUCGGAAUAACUCAGGGAAACUUGAGCUAAUACCGGAUACGCCCUUUUUGGGGAAAGGUUUACUGCCGGAAGAUCGGCCCGCGUCUGAUUAGCUAGUUGGUGGGGUAACGGCCUACCAAGGCGACGAUCAGUAGCUGGGCUGAGAGGAUGAUCAGCCACACUGGGACGUGAGACACGGCCCAGACUCCUACGGGAGGCAGCAGUGGGGAAUAUUGGACAAUGGGCGCAAGCCUGAUUCAGCCAUGCCGCGUGAGUGAUGAAGGCCUUAGGGUUGUAAAGCUCUUUUAUCCGGGACGAUAAUGACGGUACCGGAGGAAUAAGCCCCGGCUAACUUCGUGCCAGCCGCCGCAGUAA
rnacentral:rRNA from 1 species